rnacentral:rRNA from 1 species
UCCGUAGGUGGAUAAUUAAGUCAGAGGUGAAAUCCUGCAGCUCAACUGUAGAAUUGCCUUUGAUACUGGUUAUCUUGAGUUAUUAUGAAGUAGUUAGAAUAUGUAGUGUAGCGGUGAAAUGCAUAGAUAUUACAUAGAAUACCAAUUGCGAAGGCAGAUUACUAAUAAUCAACUGACACUGAUGGCCGAAAGCGUGGGGAGCGAACAGGAUUAGAUACCCUGGUAGUCC